GAUUUUGAGGUCGUGAACAGUUUUUGUGUUUAGUGGUUGUCGUACCUUUUGCAUCAUGAUUCUUCGAAAGGAGGCUGGUUAUUUCGGUGUCUCGAAAGAUAGCGAUUUAGGUUUGUCUUGUUUUUAGAACUUAGGGAUUAGCGGGUAGCUAAGCUUUAAAGAUGGAUCUAGGAGUGAUAAAUAAGACGCGUUAUCUUAUAGCUAGUUGUUGAGUAUUUUUUUGUGUUAGUCUUGUUGCUUAGAUGUGAUGGGGCGGUUAAGAGAGUUUAUGAGGAUAUUGUGGAGAUGGGUUAGAGGUACCCUCUCUUAGUUUCGUGUUAUAACGAUUAUUUUGUCUUUGUUUUCUUUAGUUUGAUGCUCGACCUUCUGAAUGUUUAUUUUGAGUGUGAGGGAAUAAGUAGUUUGAAUGGUUUCUUUUUUUCUCGAAUUUCUCCGGUCUGUUUCUCAAAAACAUUUCCAUUAUCUGAAAAUUUUUGAUGGUAGUGCCUGCUCGAUGUUUUAAUAAAUGGCCGCAGUAUUUUGACUGUGCUAAGGUAGCAUAAUUAGUUGCCUUAUAAUUGAAGGAUUGUUUGAAUGGUUUGACUAGGGGAGUGGUUUAGAUAGGGGCUGUUGUUGAAAUUGGGUGGUCGGUGCAGAUCCCGGCGGUUUUUAAUUAGACGGAAAGACCCCGAGAGCUUUAACAGGUUUGUUUACUUGGGGCAAGGGCAUAUGCUUUAUAUGUUUUUGGAUCCUUAGGGAAAAAGGUUUAGUUACCUCGGGGAUAACUAGGUGAGAGGCGAGGAGAGAUCUUAUCGAUUCGUCUGUUUACUAUCUCGAUGUUGACUUAGGGUUAGCGUGUGGGUGUAGGAGCUUUUACGUUAUGGUCUGUUCGACCGUAAUUCCCUUCAUGAGUUGAGUUAAGACCGGCGUGAGCCAGGUCGGUUCUUAUCUUUUGUUGCUGCGGUUUAGUACGAAAGGAGCAUCCGUAGUUUAGGUU
rnacentral:rRNA from 1 species